AGCAGCCGCGGUAAUUCCAGCUCCAAUAGCGUAUAUUAAAGUUGUUGCAGUUAAAAAGCUCGUAGUUGAAUUUCGGGAUCAAUACGUCGGUCGUGCUUCGGUACGUACUGGCGUAAUUGAUUUCUCCCUUCUGACGAACCAUGAUGUCAUUAACUUGGUGUCAUGGGAAAUCAGGACUGUUACUUUGAAAAAAUUAGAGUGUUUAAAGCAGGCUCACGCUUGAAUACAUUAGCAUGGAACAAUGAAAUAGGACGUUUGAUCCUAUUUUGUUGGUUUCUAGGAUCGACGUAAUGAUUAAUAGGGAUAGUUGGGGGCAUUAGUAUUCAAUUGUCAGAGGUGAAAUUCUUGGAUUUAUUGAAGACUAACUACUGCGAAAGCAUUUGCCAAGGAUGUUUUCAUUAAUCAAGAACGAAAGUUAGGGGAUCGAAGACGAUCAGAUACCGUCGUAGUCUUAACCAUAAACUAUGCCGACUAGGGAUCGGAUGACGUUAAUUUUUAAUGACUCAUUCGGCGCCUUACG
rnacentral:rRNA from 1 species